GGAUGUGAGGGCCAUCUGGCUGCAACAUCACUAGGUUUGAUUGGGCUGAUCUGGCUAGCUGGGCAGGUUUCCCUUUCUUCCUCCUGCCCCCUGUGCUUCCCUCCAAACACUGCACACGUUUGUGCUCACUGGCAGAGGAGGCCUUUCCAGAAUAGAGACAGACCAUUCUUCAACCGAGGAUAUAGGUAUAGCUGCACUCCGCUGCUAGAACCUCUAAAACAAGUUCUCAGGAAUAGUUUCGUGUCAUUUGCAAAUAAAGCCUGACUUCUUAUUACCAGAACAAAUUCAUUAAUUACAAGUUUUCUUAAAAGUGUU
rnacentral:snRNA from 1 species